rnacentral:rRNA from 1 species
UGGCGGACGGGUGAGUAACGCGUGGGUAACCUGCCUCAUACAGGGGGAUAACAGUUGGAAACGACUGCUAAUACCGCAUAAGCGCACAGGGUCGCAUGACCUGGUGUGAAAAACUCCGGUGGUAUGAGAUGGACCCGCGUCUGAUUAGCCAGUUGGCAGGGUAACGGCCUACCAAAGCGACGAUCAGUAGCCGACCUGAGAGGGUGACCGGCCACAUUGGGACUGAGACACGGCCCAAACUCCUACGGGAGGCAGCAUG